rnacentral:rRNA from 1 species
UACGUAGGGGGCGAGCGUUGUCCGGAAUGACUGGGCGUAAAGGGCGUGUAGGCGGCCGAUUAAGUGUGGAGUGAAAGUCCAUAUUUCAAGUAUGGAAUUGCUUUGCAGACUGGUUGGCUUGAGUGCGGAAGAGGUAAGUGGAAUUCCCAGUGUAGCGGUGAAAUGCGUAGAGAUUGGGAGGAACACCAGUGGCGAAGGCGACUUACUGGGCCGUAACUGACGCUGAGGCGCGAAAGCGUGGGGAGCGAACAGG